UACGUAGGGGCAAGCGUUGUCCGGAUUUAUUGGGCGUAAAGAGCGUGUAGGCGGUUAGGUAGGUCCGUUGUGAAAACUCGAGCUCAACCUCGAGACGCCGAUGGAAACCCCUAACUAGAGUCCGGAAGAGGAGAGUGGAAUUCCUGGUGUAGCGGUGAAAUGCGCAGAUAUCAGGAAGAACACCCGUGGCUAAGGCGGCUCUCUAGUACGGUACUGACGCUGAGACGCGAAGCGUGGGAGCGAACAGG
rnacentral:rRNA from 1 species